CAUCCUUCCCGCACCGCACGUAGAACCAUGGCCAGCACCUCAGGAUCUGGAGGAUUUGGGCAAACGGUGACCUGAUGUGGUCCUUCAGUUUCAAAGAUGAAGAACGCGUGCAGGGAGGCGAUUGCAGGGAUGUGGUUUGAGGGCGACAGCGAGCCUAGGAAUGUUUUAAGCAGAAGAGGCCUCUAGACAAAUCGUCAUUUCUGGAUCCGUACUAUUCAGGCCAA